ACAGAGUCUUGCUUCGUUGCCCAGGCUGGAGUGCAGUGAUGCAAUCUCGGCUCCCUACAACCUAAGCCUCAAGUGAUCCUUCCAUCUCAGCCUCCUGAGUAGCUGGGACUACAGGAGACAGACGCAAUAAAAGGAAGUUAACAUACUGGUAUCAAGUAUUGGACAAGACUUUUUACACACAGUAAAAUUCAUUCACUGAUACAACCAUUUUAUGAAGUAAGUAUUCUCUCCACAAAAGAGGAAGAGAGGCUCAAAGACGUUCGCUGACAUGUCUAGGAUCACACAGCUAGUAUGCGGUAUAGUAAGAAAUUUCGUGUUUGUCUCAGGUUCUUGACACAGGGUUCCUAAAACCUUAGGAACUUCCCAGGUAAUGGGAGUGUCUUGUUACUUUUAAGGAGCCCUUUUUGAUCACCCUAUCUCUAUCUGCAUAUAAUUUAUGCUGGAUAGAGUUUAUGCUAAUGAGGUUACUGAGGUGGAGCCCCUAGAUAGCCUCAGGAUGGGGCUGCUCACUACAAAGACCAAGUGAUUGAUAGCUGGUUGGAACUUUCAGCCCCACCUACUGACCUCGGGGAAAGAAAGGGGGAGGGGGAUCUGAAAAUCAAACUCUAUAAACUCUCUUGGGAUCUGAUGAGCUUCUAGGUUCCCGAACCUAGUGCUGGGAGAGUGGCACGCCCAGAGGAAGCCUAGAAGGUCUGCAGGCACCCCCUUGCCUCCCACCCCCGCCAUACCUUGCCUUAUGCAGCUCUUCCAUCUGGCCAUUCCUGAGUUGUAUCCUUUAUGAUAAACUGGUAAACAUAAGUAAAGUGUUUCCUUUAAUUCUGUGAGGCAUUCCAGCAAAUUAUUAAACCCAAGAAGGGAGUCAUGGAACCCCUGAUUUAUAGCUGGUUGGUCAAAAGUACUAGAUGCCCAGACUUGCAAUUGGCAUCUGAAGUAAGUGGAAGCAGUGUUGUGCAACUGAGCCCUUUACUUGUGGGGUCUGCUGUCAACUCCAAGUAGACGAGUAUCAGAAUUGAACUGAAUUGUAGGACACCCAGCUGGUGUCAGAAAAUUGGCUGGCGUGAGGAAGAAAAACCACACAUUUUGGUGACCUCGUGUUCUGUGCUGUAUUGGGUAUAAGUGUUUGGUUUUUCCUAUCUUGUACACAGUAAGUUAAAGACAGGAUUUUGCACUGGUCUUGUUGGUGUGUGCCUGGUAGUCCCAGCUAUUUGGGAGGCUGAGGUGGGAAAACUGCUUGAGCCCAGGGGUUCAGAGCAGCCUGAGCAGCCCCAUCUCUGGGUAGAGAGAGAGAGAGAAAAAAAAAGGAUUUUGACCUAGGUCUGAAUUCAAAGUUCAUGCUCUUUCUCUAUGUGCUGCUUCCUACUAAAAUCUAUAAAUAACCCUAAAAGAGUCAAUUAUAUUAGCCUUUUCUUAAACUGUCUUUGGCCAGAACUACUAAAAAGGAGGAAAAGACUUUUAUGGCCCUUUUCUGUUCUUGUUCAGAUAUGUAUGUUUAAAAUGUGUACAACAGGAUAAUGAAAAAAAUAAAGAAAUUUAAUAAUCUGCCAUUGACUACAUGACAACACUGCUUGUGGACAUUUUAUUCACUUUAAAAUAAAUAUUGUGCUGUAAACUGUUCAGAAGUGAAA